rnacentral:lncRNA from 1 species
GAGAAGCCAUUCUUUUGUUCCACUGUCACCUAUGACUUUCCCUAAAGGUAUAUUCUCUGUACUUUCUGGUGUGACAUAAGAAGAAGACACACCAUUUCCUUUGAUAUCUAGCCUUAAGGAAAUUUCUAGAUGAGCAAUAAUGUUGUGUCCCAUCCCCUAAAGUUUUCCUGAGCCUCCUGAUCUGGGAUCCUAUUAAUUAUAAGCCUCAAUUUGUUGCUGACGUCAAAGGGACCUUCAUGUACAGAAAGGCUCAGAGUGACAUGACAAAUAAUCGACCAGACCAACAGAAGGGCUGGCUGGCACUUUUGCUGACAAGGUGUAUUAGUUCGUUUUUAUGCUGCUGAUAAAGACAUACCCGAGACCAGGCAAUUUACAAAAGAAAGAUUUAAUUGGACUUACAGUUCCACAUGGCUGAGGAGGCCUCACAAUCAUGGUGGAAGGCAAAGAGGAGUAAGUCACAUCUUACAUGGAUGGCAGAAGGCAAAAAAAAAAAAAAAAAAAAAACUUGUUCAGGGAAACUCUGUCUUAUAAAGCCAUCAGAUCUCAUGAGAGUUAUUCACUAUCACGAAAACAGUGCAGGAAAGACCCACCCCCAUAAUUUGAUCACCUCCCACCGGGUCCCUCCCACAACAUGUGGGAAUUCAAGAUGAGAUUUGGGUGGGGACACAUCCAAACCAUAUCACAUGGUGUGUAUUGUUGAUAUAGGCGAGAGUUACUAUGACAAUAUAGAAUAAUGAAAUCUAUGUAAUUGGAAAAGGAACUAAUUUAAACAUUGUGUUCCACUCCCCAGCUCAAAUUGUAAAACACAG